GAUGAACGCUAGCGGCAGGCUUAAUACAUGCAAGUCGAGGGGCAGCAUGAGUACUUGUACUUGAUGGCGACCGGCGCACGGGUGCGUAACGCGUAUGCAACCUACCCAAUACAAGGGGAUAGCCCGAAGAAAUUUGGAUUAAUACCCUAUGGUAUCAUUUGAUGGCAUCAGAAGAUGAUUAAAGAUUUAUUGGUAUUGGAUGGGCAUGCGUCCCAUUAGCUAGUUGGUAAGGUAACGGCUUACCAAGGCAACGAUGGGUAGGGGUUCUGAGAGGAUGAUCCCCCACACUGGUACUGAGAUACGGACCAGACUCCUACGGGAGGCAGCAGUAGGGAAUAUUGGUCAAUGGGCGAGAGCCUGAACCAGCCAUGCCGCGUGCAGGAAGACGGCCUUCUGGGUUGUAAACUGCUUUUAUAUAGGAAUAAAAAGGCCUUGCGAGGCAAAUUGCAUGUACUAUAUGAAUAAGCACCGGCUAACUCCG
rnacentral:rRNA from 1 species